CCCUUAGAUGUUCUGGGCCGCACGCGCGCUACACUGAUGCAUUCAACGAGUCUAAAACCUGCUCUGAUAGGGGUGGGUAAUCUUUUGAAUGUGCAUCGUGAUUGGGAUAGAUGAUUGCAAUUUUUCAUCUUCAACGAGGAAUUCCUAGUAAACGCGAGUCAUCAGCUCGCAUUGAUUACGUCCCUGCCCUUUGUACACACCGCCCGUCGCACCUACCGAUUGAAUGUUUCGGUGAAGAUUCCGGAUAGGACUUUUUUGAUUUAUUUCAAUUUUGUCUUAAAAGCUAUCUAAACCUCAACAUUUAGAGGAAGGUGAAGUCGUAACA
rnacentral:rRNA from 1 species